GGAUAAGGAAAGUAAAAAAGGGCGCAUGGCGGAUGCCUUGGCUCUCGGAGGCGAUGAAGGACGUGAUAAGCUGCGAUAAGCUUUGGGGAGGUGCAAAUGACCUUUGAUCCAGAGAUUUCCGAAUGGGACAACCCAAUAUCUUGAAGAGGUAUUAUCCAACGUUGUUGGAGGCUAACGCAGGGAACUGAAACAUCUUAGUACCUGCAGGAAAAGAAAAUAAACAAUGAUUCCCCCAGUAGUGGCGAGCGAACGGGGAACAGCCCAAACCAUCCAUGUUACGGCAUGGGUGGGGUUGUAGGACUACGCCGUUGCAUGAAGACAUCAGAGAAGAACUUUCUGGAAAGAAAGACCAUAGAGCAUGACAGUUGCGUAUUCGAAUGUUGUCGAAGCAUAGUAGUAUCCUGAGUAGCGCGGAGCACGAGGAAUUCUGCGUGAAUCUGCCGGGACCAUCCGGUAAGGCUAAAUACUCCCGAGAGACCGAUAGCGAACCAGUACCGUGAGGGAAAGGUGAAAAGCACUUCGAACAGAAGAGUGAAAUAGUUCCUGAAACCGUGCGCCUACAAGCGGUCGGAGCUCGUUAAUGAGUGACGGCGUGCCUUUUGCAUAAUGAACCUACGAGUUGCCUUUGCCGGCAAGGUUAAGUGUGACGACACACGUAUCCGAAGCGAAAGCGAGUCUGAACAGGGCGUAUAGUCGGCAGUGGCAGACGCGAAACCAAGUGAUCUACCCUUGGCCAGGUUGAAGGCUGGGUAACACCAGCUGGAGGACCGCACCAAUAAGCGUUGAAAAGCUUCUGGAUGAGCUGAGGGUAGGGGUGAAAGGCUAAUCAAACUUGGAGAUAGCUCGUACUCCCCGAAAUGCAUUUAGGUGCAGCCUUGCGGGUUACUGAUGUGAGGUAGAGCGACUGAUAAGAUGCGAGGGCUUCACCGCCUAUCAAGUCUUGACAAACUCCGAAUGCGCAUCAGUUCUACCGCAGGAGUGAGGGCAUGGGUGCUAAGGUCCGUGCCCGAGAGGAGAAGAAUCCGGACCACCUGCUAAGGUCCCGAAAUGACAGCUAAGUUAAACUAACGAAGUCUGACUGCUAAGACAGCUAGGAUGUUGGCUUGGAAGCAGCCAUUCAUUUAAAGAGUGCGUAACAGCUCACUAGUCGAGGAGUCGGGCGUGGAUAAUAAUCGGGUAUUAAGUUGUCUACCGAAGCAGUGGGAUCAUUUAUAUGAUCGGUAGGGGAGCAUUCCAGUCAGCGUCGAAGGCGUACCGUGAGGUAUUCUGGAGCGUCUGGAAAAGCAAAUGUAGGUAUAAGUAACGAUAAAGGGGGCGGGAAACCCCCUCGCCGAAAGACUAAGGUUUCCUGAUCAACGCUAAUCGGAUCAGGGUCAGUCGGGUCCUAAGGCUCAGCCGAACGGCGAUGCCGAUGGCAGAAACGGUUAAUAUUCCGUUACUACCUUCAGGAGUGACGUGGAGACGCAGUAGUGACAGUGCCGCCAUCUGACGGAAUAGAUGGUUGAAGGGUGUAGGAGUCGAUCAUGGCAGGCAAAUCCACCAUGAGAUCCGAACCUGAUAGUAUGCCGCGUCCUUCGGGACAAGGCAAUAGUGCGCGUAAGCAUGCUGCCGAGAAAAUCCGCUAAACUUAAUCCUGCAGGUACCCGUACCGCAAACGGACACACGUAGUCGGGAUGAAUAUUCUAAGGCGCUUGAGUGAUUCACGGUUAAGGAACUAGGCAAACUGACCCUGUAACUUCGGGAUAAAGGGUCCCUACCCUUUUAUGGGAGGGCGCAGAGAAUCGGUCCAGGCAACUGUUUAACAAAAACACAGGGCUGUGCCAAAUCGAAAGAUCCAGUAUACAGCCUGACACCUGCCCGGUGCUGGAAGGUUAAGAGGAGAUGUCAUCGAUAAGAGAAGCGUUGAAUUGAAGCCCCAGUAAACGGCGGCCGUAACUAUAACGGUCCUAAGGUAGCGAAAUUCCUUGUCGGGUAAGUUCCGACCUGCACGAAUGGUGUAAUGAUCUGGACGCUGUCUCAACCGUGAGCUCAGUGAAAUUGUAGUAUCGGUGAAGAUGCCGAUUACCCGCGAUGGGACGAAAAGACCCCGUGAACCUUUACUAUAGCUUAUCAUUGAAUCUGGGCACGUGAUGUGUAGGAUAGGUCGGAGGCUUUGAAGCAGGUACGCCAGUAUUUGUGGAGCCGCUGUUGAAAUACGACCCUUUAUUUGUUUGGAUUCUAACCCGUGGAACGGGGACAUUGAUUGGUGGGUAGUUUGACUGGGGUGGUCGCCUCCAAAAGCGUAACGGAGGCUUCUAAAGGUGCCCUCCGGCCGAUUGGUAACCGGCCUUAGAGUGUAAUGGCAUAAGGGCGCUUGACUGGGAGACUGACAAGUCGAUCAGGUAGGAAACUAGAGCAUAGUGAUCCGGUGUUUCCGUAUGGAAGGGACAUCGCUCAAAGGAUAAAAGGUACUCCGGGGAUAACAGGCUGAUCCCUCCCAAGAGCUCAUAUCGACGGAGUGGUUUGGCACCUCGAUGUCGGCUCGUCACAUCCUGGGGCUGGAGAAGGUCCCAAGGGUUGGGCUGUUCGCCCAUUAAAGUGGCACGCGAGCUGGGUUCAGAACGUCGUGAGACAGUUCGGUCUCUAUCUAUCGUGGGCGUAUGAAAUUUGCGUGGCUCUGACACUAGUACGAGAGGACCGUGUUGGACAGACCUCUGGUUUGCCGGUUGUGCCGCCAGGUGCAUUGCCGGGUAUCUAAGUCUGGAUCGGAUAAGUGCUGAAAGCAUCUAAGUACGAAGCCGGCCACAAGAUUAGAUUUCUCAGGGUCGUUGUAGACUACGACGUUGAUAGGAUGCAGGUGUAAAGAUGGAGACAUCAAAGCCGAGCAUUACUAAUUGCCCGUUCACUUUCCUUA
rnacentral:rRNA from 1 species